rnacentral:rRNA from 1 species
ACGAACGCUGGCGGCAGGCUUAACACAUGCAAGUCGAACGCCCCGCAAGGGGAGUGGCAGACGGGUGAGUAACGCGUGGGAAUCUACCUUGAACUACGGGAUAGCUCCGGGAAACUGGAAUUAAUACCGUAUGUGCCCUUAGGGGGAAAGAUUUAUCGGUUCAAGAUGAGCCCGCGUUGGAUUAGCUAGUUGGUGGGGUAAAGGCCUACCGAGGCGACGAUCCAUAGCUGGUCUGAGAGGAUGACCAGCCACAUUGGGACUGAGACACGGCCCAAACUCCUACGGGAGGCAGCAGUGGGGAAUAUUGGACAAUGGGCGCAAGCCUGAUCCAGCCAUGCCGCGUGAGUGAUGAAGGUCUUAGGAUUGUAAAGCUCUUUCACCGGGGACGAUAAUGACGGUACCCGGAGAAGAAGCCCCGGCUAACUUCGU